rnacentral:lncRNA from 1 species
ACGUGAUAAAAACCAGGUACACGUGCACACACGUGCACACACACACACUCUCUCACACUCUCUCUCUCUCACACACACACACACACACACACACACAUCAUGUUGAUGAGAUUUGGUCUCUUUCACAGUGUCGGGAGCUUCAGUCAGAGUUUUGAUGUCAUGUCCACCGAUACACAAGCUAACGUCUAUGUUGACUUCAUCAAAGUCUUCCUCUCUCAGAACAGCACUGCAGGUUGGACACACACACACACACACACACACACACACACACACACACACACACACACACACACACACACACACAUAGGGAUCUGUAGCGAGUGCUCAGCUGGGACGUGUUGCUCUGUGUUUAGGGUGUGUGAACGUCUCUCAGAGCAGCUCUGAUUGGCUGACCAGCAGGUUUGGACGUUUCUCUGUUUUCACCACAAUCACCGACCUGCAGAUGCUCAACCCCAGCUUCAAUGUGUUGGACACUCUGAGUCUGUUGAGCCUGAGGCAAUUAGUGGAGGUUUCCAGCACUCCUGGAUUCCUGUCCAGCGCUGCUGCGGUUAACAAUCUGCUGCUCUACGUGCCGGACGCUCAAUUCACAUCGUUCUUCACAUUCCUCUCCGCUACGCUACAGACGCAGGGCAUUGUUCUCCCUCCUCCUGUGCAGGAGGCGUUUCUGCAGCAGGUGUUUGACAGAGCCAAUCUGACCACGAUAUCAGACACUAAUCUGCAGAUCUGGAUUCUGAACAUACUGCCUUCCUUCAUAUCCAACAUUACAGUCCAACACGUGACAUCCUACUUCAGUGUCGUCCUGAAGCGACCCUGUCCCAUCAGCCAGCAAGCGAUGCAGCUGUUGAACUCGUCCAGCUCCACCUUCCAGCCGGCGACACAAGAUCAGAUCUACCAGCUAAUCCUCGGCUCUCUCACAGGCCCCACCCCACUGCACUGCUUUGGUAACCAGAGCUACUACGCUUUCCUGACCUCCUCCUUCAUGAGUUUCCAGUUUCCCAAUCUGACCACCUUCCUGUUGCUGAUGCCGCCGGCUCGUGUGCCAGAGCUGAUGGAGUCGGUGUCUCCAGCGGAGGUCAGCAGUCUCCUGAAUCGGCCCAAUGCUGUGGACGAUGUUGCCCAAAUCUGCCGGCUUUUCAGAAUUUACCCAAAGACGCCCCAGUACUUACAGACGGUAUGGACAUCUGUCACCAUAUACUAAU